GCCCAGGUAGCUCAGUUGGUAGAGCACGUGACUGAAAAUCACGGUGUCGGUGGUUCGAUCCCGCCCUGGGCACCA
rnacentral:tRNA from 1 species